GGGGCCGACCGGUUUUGACAGCAAGACCAAUGGCAAUGUAAGCAUGUCGAGCGCUGGGACACAGCUCGUUAAUCCCAUUUCCCACACUUUUAAUUGGCGAAAACAAUUACGCUCUUGCCGCUUAAUCUGAAUUACAGUAGGAUUUAGCCUCGUCCCUACCAGGUAGGGAAGCGAGAUGUUCCUGAAUAGCCCCUGUCGACGGCGAUUCAAUACGGAGCACCAGAAAUGUCGAUAUAAGGCUGCUAACGCUUCGAUAGUAGCACCAAAAUCCUAAGAAGCUAAGUAUGUAUUAGGCUGUUCCCGGUCAGAUACGUAUCGAAAACCAAUUGGGGACUAAGCAUGUAGAAAGCUUUGUAAUUGCUUGUUUGGACGAGGGUUCGACUCCCUCCGGCUCCACCA
rnacentral:tmRNA from 1 species